rnacentral:lncRNA from 1 species
UAUCUUGUGGGAACCAUAACCCCACACUUAUAACAAAUGAGUUAUGAAACUCAAGAGUCAUAAGCAUGUAACCAUGGUUACAUAUAUGUAACCUUAGUUAGCCCAUCAUUAACUAAGGUUACCCUUUUGGGUAUCUACACAUUGGUCAUACACUUUAUAUGACAAUACAUUGGCCCCCUUAACAUAAUGUCCAUAAGACCACCAAAUUAGGCCAAAUCAAAAGAUAGCACAUAACAUAUAAUUUAUCCAUAUA